rnacentral:rRNA from 1 species
UACGUAGGGGGCAAGCGUUGUCCGGAUUUAUUGGGCGUAAAGAGCGCGCAGGCGGUUGAUUAAGUCGAAUGUGAAAGCCCCCGGCUCAACUGGGGAGGGUCACGCGAUACUGAUCGACUCGAAGGCAGGAGAGGGAAGUGGAAUUCCCGGUGUAGUGGUGAAAUGCGUAGAUAUCGGGAGGAACACCAGUGGCGAAGGCGACUUCCUGGCCUGUUCUGACGCUGAGGCGCGAAAGCUAGGGGAGCAAACGGGG